GAUCCAUUCCCUUUGACGAUCCCUAGGUGGAGAUGGGGCAUGAGGAUCCUCCAGGGGAAAAGCUCACUACCACUGGGCAACAACCCUAGGUCAGGAGGUUCUGUCAGGAUACUUUCCUGGUCCCAGAUAGGAAGAUAAAGUCUCAAAAACAACCACCACACGUCAAGGAGAACAUGGACAACUGUCACAUCAGUGACAUUGAUCACAUGGGCAAAUCAUUCUGUUCCAUCUGGUCCCCAAAGUCUCUCUUAAAGCCUUACAGAAGAACUUUGCCAAUCAUUUACAUACUUCGGGAUGGCUUGGGAUGCCAUGGGAUAUAAUACGACAAGUGAGAGCUCUUCAUUGUUCCUAUCUGCCAAAUCAUUACACUUCCUACAAGCAGUGCAGAGAACUGAGUCUUCAGCAGGUCCAAGAAAUUUGAACACAUUGAAGGAGGUCAGCCUUCCUACCUGAAGAUCAACAUGCUUGGCACUCUAGCACUUUAGGA